UCCCCCAAGGCUAAUAUGUUGACCACACGACCACAACAAACUUCACAUAUUACCAAUAAUGUUCUCCACCCACGGUUUCUGUUAUGCUUUCACAAACAAUCUGUGUGAACCCGUACGAACGAAUCACAUGAAGAGAUUUGUGUUCGUAAGUUAUUUGAUCCCAUAGUUUAACCACUCCACGAAAAGCAGCAAACAAGCAAAAAGAUUGCCAAGAAACUAUUAAUGCCACGACUCAUGAGCUUUCAUGUGUUAUUAAUGUACAUUAAGACAUGUGAAAUCAGAAGCAACUUUUUUUUUUUUUUUAAAGGGCGAGGGAACAAGUGUGCACAAAGAAAGACUUUGGUCCUGCUGUCCCAAACACGACAGUGACACGUCACAGUGCCGUAUGGUCAACGCGAUACACACAGCCCUCACACAUCUGAUCAAGCCCUGACACACCACAAGUCACACAUCCCCAUCUGAUUAUACGGCCAUCAGUCUGCAUGACUCACUCCACCCUGUCAGAAGACAUCUGCGGUCAUAUAACCCAUGUAACCAACACUGCAGCCUUUGUUAACUUAAUGAAGUAAGCGCAUACACCUGCCAUCAGCAACACACACUAAACUACCACGACCACUGAAGCAGCUCGGUUAAAAAGCACAUCUGCUUGUAGAUCUCAGGGUAACAGACACUGCAGUUAGCUGGUUUAAGCUAAUGUAAUGGGAUUGACGCUUUAGUCCUCUAAUCCACUUAACGCCCAACACAUACAUGAUGUUGAGGUGCACGCACAGCCAUAAACGCUCGGCCCUUUGUGGAUUAACCUGACCACCACCAGAGAGCAGACACGCCGGCAGUCGGCGCUAGGAGCAUACAUCAACAAUCAAACAAUGACUUUAAAAGUAGUAGGACAGGCUAAUACAUGGGUGAUCACAGCCACAGGUGGUGUUAUUAGUGUUGGCACCUGCAGCACACUAAACCAUCUCCCUCCCUGACCCAGUGAAACCCACGGGGAAGGCGUUCAGCGACACUGUAAUAUAUACCUGGAUGGAACCAACGUUUAACAGGAGAAUUUAGUUUAUUUCUUCACUUAUAAGCUGACAGUUAUCCCCACCCAGGCAGUUUCCAACACAACAAGUUCACACAGGACCCACCCAACAGGUUCACGAGCGGACACACUCCAGCUCCCAGCCCGUGUGACUGGAGGACCACCACCCUGACGGACUCAAAUACACAAAACGGGAUUAAAUGUGUUGCCAAACAAGUUGCGAGGUGUACAAUGACCUUACACCACCCCAAUGAGAACCGCCGAGGUGCGGACACCUCUUAUCGGCUUGAACUGAUAACACUGCCCGCUACCGACACAGAGGCACCGGCUACUCGGGUUUAAUAAACCCGACGUUUUAAUGACGAUGUGCACAAGUCUCCUGUACAAGUACAACACAUAUCCUUCUGGAGCUGCUAACAGUUGAUAUGUAAUUCCCAGAUCUCGCCCCUCCCCCCCCAGACUGUCUUCGUCAAUUGAUUUGCUAACGUAGCAUCGCAAUCUAGAGCCGCGAGCCGCAGCGUUAGCUGGACCAGAGGCAGGAACAACACGACGUGGGAAUGAAACGACUCCGGAGAACAAAGAGCGGCGGAGCAUCGAGCCACUCUGUGCUCGAGCCCUCGCUGCCGCCAGAUAAAAGACACCGGUGUUUGUCACAAGUUUUUAGACAGGCAUCCAGUAGCCGGACUCGGAGUGGAGAUCAACCGCGCACGGAUUGACACGAGCAGCACAGCAAUUAUAAAAGAGGAGAAGAUGGAUUUAAAUGCUCCUGUAGUAUGAUAAUAAAUAGGCUACCUCCCCCAG